rnacentral:piRNA from 1 species
AGCUCAUGCAGGAGAGAAGGUGGACUU